rnacentral:rRNA from 1 species
GAUGAACGCUAGCGGCAGGCCUAAUACAUGCAAGCCGAACGGCAAGUUUGAUAGCAAUAUUGGACCUAGAGUGGCGCAAGGGUGCGUAACACGUAUGCAACCUGCCCGCGACAGGAGGAUAGCUCCCCGAAAGGGGAAUUAACCCUCCAUAACACCAUGAGAAGGCAUCUGAUUAUGGUUAAACCGCAAGGGGUCGCGGAUGGGCAUGCGGUUGAUUAGCUAGUUGGCGGGGUAAAGGCCCACCAAGGCGGUGAUCAAUAGGGGUUCUGAGAGGAAGGUCCCCGACACUGGCACUGAGAUACGGGCCAGACGCCUACGGGAGGCAGCAGUAGGGAAUAUUGGACAAUGGUUGCAAGACUGAUCCAGCCAUGCCGCGUGCAGGAAGAAGGCCUCCUGGGGCCUAAACUGCUUUUUCCUGUGGAUAAAAUACCCGUGCGCGGGGAAUUGAAGGUAACAGGGGAAUAAACCACGGCUAACUACGUG